AGAGUGAACGCUGGCGGUAGGCCUAACACAUGCAAGUCGAACGGCAGCACAGUGGUAGCAAUACCAUGGGUGGCGAGUGGCGGACGGGUGAGGAAUACAUCGGAAUCUACCUUUUCGUGGGGGAUAACGUAGGGAAACUUACGCUAAUACCGCAUACGCCCUUCGGGGGAAAGCCGGGGAUCGCAAGACCUGGCGCGGAUAGAUGAGCCGAUGUCAGAUUAGCUAGUUGGUGAGGUAAUGGCUCACCAAGGCGACGAUCCGUAGCUGGUCUGAGAGGAUGAUCAGCCACUACGUAGGAACUGAAGACACGGUCCAAGACCUCCGACGGGAGGCAGCAGGUGGGAAAUAGUUGGACAAGUGGGCACAAGCCUGACUCCAGCCAGUACCGCGGU
rnacentral:rRNA from 1 species